UCGGGAGUCGUCUAAGGGUUAGGACUCUGGUUUUUGGUGCCAGCUAUGGUGGUUCGAAUCCACCCUCCCGAGCCA
rnacentral:tRNA from 1 species